GCCGCUCAUGUUCCCCGACAGGUGAUUGAACUGUGCCGUCCGCUGGACUCCCGGCUGGAACACGUGGACUUCGAGUCUCUCUUUUCCUCUCUCAGCAUCCGACACCUGCUCUGCGUUUUUGCCUCCCUGCUCCUGGAAAGGAGGGUCAUCUUCAUCGCAGACAAGCUCAGGUGCUGGGCACCCUACCAUGUGCUGGGGAAACGGGGAAAAGACACAGCGCUGUGCUUCAAGAGGCCUCAGUCCGGCGGGGGGAUGGAGAAGUAAACAGACCACCCAGUACUGUGCUGUAAAGGCCGACUCGAGGCAGAGCGUCCUCAUUCGUGGACGAGUUCCCUGCAUCUUAAGGCCAAGAGCAAGUAGAAAGCAUGUUCCAGGCAAAAGGAGCUGUCAGUACAAUGGCAGGGAGAGGGGAGGCCAAGGGUCCCUUCGGGAACUGCGAGCAGCUCAGUGCGGUGGAACGGAGGGGAGAGCCAGGCAGAGGCGGGCAGGGCCCGGCUCCCGGGAGGGCUGCAGGACGAGGCGGGAGGCACAGACAGAGCCAGCGGCGUGCCAGCAGAAUCCACGCGCACAGACCCGCAGCCCAGCAGGGUGCACCCACAUCCUAGUGGUCACGUUCGGGAAUUGGGAAAGCCCAGGUCACAAAUCAAAGAAGAUCCUGAAGAAGAUGCAGAUAAGGGUUGGGGUUAAUUCUGAACUUUAAAAAAGAAAGA